rnacentral:rRNA from 1 species
UACGUAGGGAGCAAGCGUUGUCCGGAUUCACUGGGUGUAAAGGGUGCGCAGGCGGAUUUGUAAGUCAGAGGUGAAAUCUUACGGCUUAACCGUGAAACUGCCUUUGAUACUGCAGAUCUUGAGUUUGGGAGAGGUUGAUGGAAUUCCAGGUGUAGCGGUGAAAUGCGUAGAUAUCUGGAAGAACACCAGUCGGCGAAGGCGGAUCAACUGGCCCAUAACUGGACGCUCAGGCACGAAAGCGUGGGUAGCGAACAGG